rnacentral:tRNA from 1 species
GGGGCUUGGUGUAGUGGUAGCACACGGGCCUCUGACUCCCUUAGUGUAGGUUCGAUUCCUAUAGCCCCUG